rnacentral:rRNA from 1 species
AUGCCGCUCCUCCUCUCGCCCCUCGCGGCGCGGUGCCUCCACCGCUCCCCGCACCUCCCCGCGCCCGUCGCGCACCACCCCUCCCGCCCCCGUCCUCUCGGCGGCGAGACCCGCGGAGGUACCAGGGGGAGGAGAGUGGCGGUGGUGUCGGAGAGGCAGGCGGCGGCGGCGGUGUUGGCCGCGGAGAAGUCCCCGGGAGGAGAGGGAGGCGACGGAGAGCGAUACGACGCGAUAGUGGUCGGGUCGGGGAUCGGGGGCCUGGUGGCGGCGACCCAGCUGGCCGCCAAAGGGGCGCGGGUGCUGGUCCUCGAGAAGUACAUCAUCCCCGGGGGCAGCUCCGGGUACUACCGCCGCGACGGGUUCACCUUCGACGUCGGCUCCUCCGUCAUGUUCGGGUUCUCCGACAAGGGAAACUUAAAUUUGAUAACACAAGCACUAGAAGCAGUUGGAUGUAAGAUGGAAGUCAUACCAGACCCUUCUACGGUUCAUUUCCAUCUACCUGGUGCCCUCUCCGUUCUUGUGCAUAGGGAGUAUAAUGACUUCAUUGAAGAGCUGGUUAGCAAAUUCCCGCAUGAAAAAGAAGGAAUCCUAAAAUUCUAUGGCAUAUGUUGGAAGAUCUUCAAUUCAUUAAAUUCUUUGGAACUAAAGUCCUUGGAAGAACCUCUAUACCUAUUCGGGCAAUUUUUUAAGAAGCCUUUGGAAUGCUUGACUCUCGCAUACUAUCUGCCACAGAAUGCGGGGGAUAUUGCUCGCAAGUUCAUAAAAGAUCAGCAGUUGCUAUCCUUCAUAGAUGCUGAGUGUUUUAUUGUGAGCACAGUCAAUGCCUUGAAAACACCCAUGAUCAACGCGAGCAUGGUAUUGUGUGAUAGGCACUUUGGAGGAAUUAACUAUCCAGUUGGUGGUGUUGGUGGUAUUGCGGUGUCUUUGGCAAAUGGCCUUGUUGAAAAGGGCAGCGCAAUACGUUACAAGGCGAAUGUGACCAAUGUUAUUCUUGAAAAUGGGAAAGCUGUUGGAGUGAGGUUGUCAAAUGGGAAGGAGUUAUUCGCUAGAACAGUAAUAUCAAAUGCCACAAGAUGGGACACAUUUGGAAAACUCGUGAAGGCUGAAGAGCUUCCAGAAGAGGAGAAAAACUUUCAGAAGAACUAUGUUAAAGCGCCAUCAUUUCUAUCCAUUCAUCUGGGUGUCAAAGCCUCAGUUUUACCUGCUGGUACUGAUUGCCACCAUUUUGUACUGGAGGAUGACUGGUCGAACUUGGAAAAGCCUUAUGGAAGCAUAUUUUUAAGUAUCCCUACAGUUCUUGAUCCAUCCUUGGCUCCUGAAGGACAUCACAUACUUCAUAUAUUUACAACUGCAGGUAUAGAAGAUUGGGAGGGUCUACCUAGGAAGGAUUAUGAGCAGAAAAAGGAGCUUGUGGCAAAUGAGAUCAUACGAAGACUUGAAAAUAAGUUGUUUCCUGGUCUUCAAGACUCAAUAGUCCUCAAGGAGGUAGGAUCCCCAAAAACUCACCGCAGAUUUCUUGCCCGAAAUGAUGGUACAUAUGGACCCAUGCCACGGGGUAAACCCAAGGGUUUGCUGGCAAUGCCUUUCAAUACCACUUCAAUAGAUGGACUUUACUGCGUCGGCGACAGCUGUUUUCCUGGGCAAGGAGUGAUUGCUGUGGCAUUUUCAGGGGUCAUGUGUGCUCAUCGUGUUGCAGCAGACAUAGAUCUUGAACAAAGGUCUCCUAUUCUAGACACCGGCCUUCUCGGUGUCCUCAGAUGGUUGAGAACACUCGCAUAA